rnacentral:lncRNA from 1 species
CUGUUAUGUGAGCAAGCUGGGUGCGCGGGUUGAAUUCCUGACACAGCUAUCUACGCUCUGUCAGAGAACAGGCUUCUCAGUGCCCAGAAAUGCCCUGAAUUGCCUCAAACAGAAAUGAGAACAAGAUUACCUGCGGUGUUCCCAGUCUUUCAAUGAGAGGGACCAAGUGUAACGGAGCAUAUUUUGAUUCAAGUCUCUUCAUUUUAGCAUCAAGUCUUUCACCCUCUGAAAGAAGAAGAAAAGGAGCACUGAUUCAUUUGAUUCAUUUGAUUGAUAUCUGGCAAUUUAUCAGCGCAGUAGAAAGAUGAAUAUGUUUUUAUUUUUAUAGGCCACUUCAAUUCUAAGCAGUUGAUUAAUCUUCAGUGUGCUUUUAGAAAAAAUACAUAUUUUAAAUUGUAGAUUGGUACGUCCAAACAAAAAAAACACCAAGUAUUUGUAGCGGAAUACAUAUAAUGCAUUACCGGAUUCACAGAAAGUACAGCUCUAUUAUGCUGCUGCUGCUAACAUAUUUGACUCCCACCUGUACUAACCAACUAAAUUGCCUGACUGUAGAAGGUGGGUUAUAGUGAGGGUGGAAUUUUGUGUAUAGUAAUAGUAAGGUUUAAAAAAAGCACUUGGCACCCCCUCGUUGCUGGCAAGUAGGAAGUAUUCUUUGACAAGUGGGAAAUACUGUUUACCAUGGUCUAACAAAUGGUUUGUUUCAUGUAUAGAGGUGCACAAGUCUGAAAAUAUUCCCAAAGAUUUUUAGCUGAUGGGAUUUCUCUGAGCAGAACAGAUCAGCUGCUCUGGCAGUGAGAAACAGAGGGGACGAGACAGAAGAGCAGCCUGGAAAGAAGCAGAAGAGCAAGGGGAAAAAAGCUCAUUUCAUAACAGUGAUGAAUAAGAAAAGGGGAUAUUCAAGAAAGCAAUCCUGAAAACACUGAGUGUGUAUCAAUAUGAUAGAAAAAAGAAAAAAGAAAACAAGCAUAUGAAAAGUCUACAGGAACUGCUUGCGUUUAUUUUAUCUGCUCCCAGGCUUUGUAUGCCUCAUUGUGAUUGACAGCCAUGUACACUAGACAGUAGUUUCAGAAAAGCCUCUCACCUUACCCACAUUGAGGCAUUACUACUGCCCCAAAUACCCCACUCAUCCCUGACAGAGUAUUCCUCAUCUCCCUCUUGUAGUUUGCACUGCAACUCACCAAGAAUAUAUUUUUCAGCCAGGCAACCAGGCUUGAAGUGGUUACCUCUACCACAAAUGUAACAGCAGUGUUGUUAAGGGCUGGAAGCGGUCACCAGUCGUGCAGCAGCAUGUAAGGAAAGCAGAAAGCAUUGCCCAAACAGGGUGUUUUCAUUUCAUACCUUUGACGUGAACUCUCGGCAGGAUGUUUUGGAACGGUGCCGCAUGCAACAGGUCACACACUUCCUCUAGGGACUGCAACAAAAUGGAAAGGAGGCAGUUAGGAAUAAAGAGUCCCCAGCCCACAUCAAAUACAAAAACUAGGCUUCCAAAAACAUGCUGAUACAGGAACAGCAGAGGGCAGCCAGCCUCUGCUGUCAAAGCUGCACACAUAACUGCUCUGGCGCUCUCUUCGCAGAAGUACUUCCAAAGACGAUAUGAUUUCACCAGGUUAGCUUGGAUUGACAAAGAAAUCAGCAGCUCUCCUCCCACCCUGAGCUGGCAGUUCUCAAAGGACAGGAUAUUUAUGAAAAAGACUAAUUCAGGAUGAGUAAUUUCAGUGUGAAAGUGGCAGACAGAUCCUGAGCAGACAAACAGAACUGUGAUGGAUGACGCACAGCUCAGCUAUUUUUACCAGCACUGUUCCCACAACACAUUAUCACGUUGGGCACGUCUCCCAACAAGGCAGGCUGAAACACCUCCCAAGAGCUGCUUUACCUCUUCAGGGAUGUGGGGAAGGAAGAGAGAUGCCUCCUGCUUCUUGUUGCUGUACAUGGAGAAAUGACCAGCAGAUGACACACAGCUUUGCUGUGCAUCUGCCUCUUUUUUGGAGCAGAGGUUCUGCCUAUUUGCAGUCCUCAGAGCUAGUAUUAGAGGAUGCUCAUCAGCCAUAGCCCUGGCAAGGUUAGAGUACUAUGGCUAUGUGCCUUUCCUAGCUCUAAUCCUCAAUGUCAACAACACAAAAAUGGACAUGCUAUGCAGUAAAGAAUAACAAGAUCCAGCCACUAGCAGAGAUGCACCAAAGACCCUAAAUUUUGCACUAGUUAUGGUAGAUGACCACAGUGGAAAAAUACUGGAAUACUGAUAGGACAUCAGGGCACCACUGAGGGCAAAACCAGGAGGAGGGGCAGCAAGCAGGGGUGCGUUGCUGGAAAGUGCCUUCAAGGCCAUAUCCCACUGAAUGUGACUCCAGCACUGGCAUCACUUCAGUGCACCCUCAGCCAAUUCUCCCAGGCAGCAGCAGGGCCUUCACCUGUCUGGCCUCUCACCUCGUGCCCUGUUAACCUGAAGCUCACUCUAGGAAUCCAGUUUCUCUCUGCUGUGACAGUUACCCCAACACAGGAUAUGGUUUCACUGCUGGUCACCUGGCCCUCCUAUCACUCUCUGUCCCUAGGGAGGAAUGCUCUAACACUGAACAGGUCUCCUGAGGAACAGCACGCCUUCAUUAUCUCAGCUAACAUUAACAGUUUUAAACACUUGAGAAAAGGACUCUUACAUGAGGAUUUAUGCUUAUGCACAGCAGGCCCCCAGCCAGCUUGCUGAGUGAGUUAAUGUAGGGUUGGUUGGCAGUCAGCAAAGAUCUCUCCUGAUGGACAGCCCAGCUUCAGUACCUAUAUGCAGAGGUGGAGAGUCUCUCCCCACUUAGAAGGGGCAACACAGGUAAAGAAAGGGAAAACACCACUCUUGUUGCUUUUCAGGCUCAUAAGCAAUGCCCAUCUUUCCCUCUGUGCACACCCAAAAGCAUUAAGACCAAGAGAUCAGCACAGGAAAUUGUUUCUACCUAUCUGUCUAUCCACAACAGCAAUCCUGCAGAUUUCAACCUUGUUAUUUGUGUCAUUAGUAACACAAAUUUGAGAGUACAUUUGGAGACACAGCAGGGUUUUAAACCAGCACAGCAGGUACUCACCAGGCUCUGCUCAAUAAGCAGGCAAAACAGGACAGCAUUUCCCACUUCCCGCAAAUUCUGGAAACAGACAGUCUUCAGCUCUGCGUAUUCAACGAUGUCCUUCAGCUGAUGAUGAAAAAACUCCAAGAUACCUGGAGAACCAUACUCAUGUCUUGGCAACCUACAGAUCUUAGGCAUCACUUCCAUCAGGGUCUUGACAUACUGAAGAAUGGUCCCUUGUAACAGGCUCUUGACGACUUUCAGCAGCUCCUCCAUCACCACAGCAAUCCCCUGAUAGCCAAGAAGCCUACAGAUGACUUUAAAGUGAGGGGGGC